GAGGCACAUGCCUUUUUCUCCAAGGACAUCUACUGCUUAUCAUUCAUCUCCUCCGACCUAUCCUCUAAGGCUGAAUCCAAUCUCUGAAUAGUAGAUCCUUUACCCUCACCUUCCACAUAGUGAAACUUCCUUUACCGUCAAACUUCUCAAAUCCCACCUUCACCCCACUGCACUCCAUGAUCAACCCAGAUCAAAAACAGCACACAAGGUAGAUCUGUAAAUUAUCUGAUAGGAAUGGUGGACAGCAGCCCCU
rnacentral:lncRNA from 1 species